rnacentral:lncRNA from 1 species
AACAAGAUGAGGGGGAGCUCGAAUGGGAGAGAGAGAGAGAGAGAGAGAGAGAGAGAGAGAGAGAGAGAGAGAGAGAGAGAUGAGAGCUUUUUUGAGUUUUGGGGAGAGAGAGAUUGAAAGGGUUUAGUUUAAAGCUUUGAGAGUUUAUAUAUGGGAUGGUACCAAAAACGUAUAUGAUGAAAUUGAGGAGUUGUUUAGAGAGAGAGAGAGAGAGAGAGAGAGAGAGAGAGAGAGGCUUUUGGACAGAGUGGUCUUCAAACAAGCAAAAUGAGCUUGAGAAACUGCUUUAGCAAGAAAAAAAAUGAUGGGAUUUUGUGGUAGGUCAUGGGGGAAUGGGUUAGAGAAGAAGGUCAUGGGGGAAUGGGUUGGAGAAGAAGACCGCAAGGAGAGGGGGGGAGGGUCCAUAGGAUUUUGUUUUUUGUUUUUUGUUUUUUUAUCUUUAAUUUUUUCAAUUUUUUUUUAAUGAUUUGACAGAUUAUUGGAUGACAUGUUAUUGAUUUAGACGGCAGGGGGGGAAUUGAGAAUAAAAUUUAGUUCGAGUCCUUAAUUUUGUAAAAAAAAAAAAAGGUCAGGGGGUAAAUUGAUAAUUAGGUACAAGUUCAAAGGGCAUUUCGGCAGUUAACCCUAUUUUAUUUCAUAUGUAUUGUUUAAGGAUUGUAACUUGUAGUUUUUAAGGGUAUGUUCCUAGGGGGACGGGGGACGGGCAGGAGGGGAGGAGGGGGGUGCAGGAACAGACCCACAAUGAGGUUAAUGGGGUCAAACGACCCUAUAGACUCCAUGGAAAUAAGCUUGAAGGUCCUCUUGAGUUGACUGUGAGACCCCCAUGAAAUACCCUACACCUGUUUGAUAUUUGGCCUGAAGAAAGGGUUGCUGCGCGAGGAAGAAGAAGAAGAGCAGUGCGCAUCUUUUUUUUUUUUAAAACACGUUGGCCAAAACAUCGUCGUUUUGGCCCAGCGCUUACUUUUAUAAUAAAAAACAUGCUUGCCAAACGGCAUCGUUUUGGCCCAGCACUUCAUUUUCUUUUCAAAGACCUGGACCAAAACGACGUCAUUUUGGCCCAGCGAAUUUGUUUUUAAAAGACCUACCCAAAACAACGUAGUUUUGGUCCAUAUCUUUUUAUAAAAAUAAAAAAAAAUAAAAAAAGUUUCCAAAACUCCUCCACCCGAUCCCAACCUCUCCAAAACCCUCAUUCUUUUCUCCUCAACCUUAAAUCCCCAAUCUCCACCUCCCUAAACCUUUAAACCCCCUCCACCCCAAACCUUUAACCCCCCCAUCUCCUCCAUUGCCGCCGUUGCCAGCAGUGUCAUCGCGCCAAAAAAAAAAAUUGAACUUUUACACUACGACCCUAUAAGGUAAGAUUUCUGGGUUCGUCACUGGGGGGUUGGCACUCUAUUGGAGGCCAGGUUUCUUCUCCCAGGUUCAGUUGAGAGGGUAGGCUACGUAGUAGUUGACAACCAAAACGCCAAUUGGUGUAGAGGUACUUGCCUAAUCCUCUAGGACUUACCCGAUUUUUGUUCUUGUUUCACUCCUCAUCAUUAAUAAACAAUUAUCACCUUUGUGUCAAUAUAUAUAUAUAUAUAUAUAUACAUACAUAUAGAAAGCUUCAGUUAAAGGAUCU